UGCAGCUGAACCCGCAAAAGCUCAUUUGCCAAAAAGAGGAUGGCAAGGAAUAUUCCACAGGAUCUGAAGAAGGUACCUGUAACGGGUUGAGUUUCCCAAAGGACUUUCUUCUGCACAGCCAGGACCAUUGGAGGGAGCUCCUCCAUGCCAAGGGACCAGGACUCUUCCCCCUCACCACGAGGAGAUUGGAUCUUCUAGUGAGCUGGCUGCUGCUCCACUGGAGAAUAAGGUUGGGAUUCGGCAACUCCCACGCAGGAAAACAGGCAGGAGCAGGCACAGGGCUGUCAAAGGUAACACCACAAGGAAGGUGUGGGGAGGGUGGCCACUAGGUUGCAGUAACCACCACACUAACGUGAUGGGAUGCAGCCAAGCCUGGCAAGAUGGAG